rnacentral:rRNA from 1 species
UACGUAGGGUGCGAGCGUUGUCCGGAAUUACUGGGCGUAAAGAGCUCGUAGGUGGUUUGUCGCGUUGUCCGUGAAAACUCACAACUCAAUUGUGGGCGUGCGGGCGAUACGGGCAGACUGGAGUACUGCAGGGGAGACUGGAAUUCCUGGUGUAGCGGUGGAAUGCGCAGAUAUCAGGAGGAACACCGGUGGCGAAGGCGGGUCUCUGGGACGUAACUGACGCUGAGACGCGAAAGCGUGGGGAGCAAACAGG